UGCAUCACUGUUACCAUGUACUGCAUGAGCUGUGUCUGAAGAUAGAUGUAGAGACUCUGGACCACUGCAACUCCACAUUGGAGAAGCUGUGAAUGGAAGACUGAUGGACAUUUCCUGUAAUAAAAGAAAAUGGUCCCGUUCUUUGCCUGUAUGGCGAUAGAAGCCCACCAGGCGGUGGAUCAGUCAAGGAAUCUCUGGAUGAAC